GACAGAGGGUGCAAACGUUGUUCGGAAUUACUGGGCGUAAAGCGCGUGUAGGCGGCUCGGCAAGUCGGGUGUGAAAGCCCUGGGCUUAACCUAGGAAGUGCACUCGAAACUGCCAAGCUUGAGUUCUGGAGAGGAAGGCGGAAUUCUCGGUGUAGAGGUGAAAUUCGUAGAUAUCGAGAGGAACACCGGUGGCGAAGGCGGCCUUCUGGACAGCAACUGACGCUGAGACGCAAAAGCGUGGGGAGCAAACAGG
rnacentral:rRNA from 1 species